rnacentral:lncRNA from 1 species
CACCAAUUUUGUGGUGCUGUCACCACAGUCCCAGCAAAGUGUAAAACCAUUUAUUUUCAAAAUAAGCAAUGACGAUUUACCAGAUUGGCGUCUGUACAAGUUUAUCUGGAGGUGGGGCUUUGGUGAUUCCUUCCAUUCUAAUUUGUGCAUUUCUGUAAAGUCUGAGUUUUCAGUAACUUUGUUUUCUGUUAAUAGGAAAAUGCCACCAAAAUAUCAAAUGUCUGUAACCGGCUGCAGGAGUGACCGAGGCACCAGACCAUGGUGCCUUGAUGGGGGUGGGGGGCGGCGGGCAGGAUGAGGCGGGGUCGCCCAGGUGGCCACGUGAGCAAGCAGGUGGGAGAGCGAGCGGGUCGCACCCGCCUGCGCAGUUCGCGGCGCCCGCUGGAGGCGAGGGGCUGAGCCCGGGAGGCUGGCUUGGCUGCAGGGACGCCCUGCAGUGCCCGCAAGGCCGGCUGGGGCGGUGACGGAAAGGACGCACCUUUCAGAAGCUCGGGCUCAGAGGAGAGGAGUAGCCCAUUUGGCAGCCGGGAGGGACUGCGUGGGGCGCUGCUUCGGGGGAGGCGGCCCCCGAGAGCAGAUUUUCCACAUUUCUCACUGCGGCUCCUUGGAUGCUGACGGUAUUUUCACGCUACAUCGCCAAUGCACUCCGAUAGGUUUGUUUUAUUCCCUUAAGCUCACAGGCAGAAUUUUAUGGAGAAAAUCCCUGGAGAGCACUAAUAAUCAUUUUAAAUUCUUUUGUAGAAAACAUCGUGAAAACAAAGCAGAAAGAGCUGAAUUGACAGAGGGAGUCUCCCACGGCCCCUGCUCUGAGGAGGAGUGAGCACGCCUUUGCUCACAGCUGACUUCCGUCCAUAAAGCCCUUUUCCUGAUGGGAGGGAGACACAGCAUCCAACGUGACUUGCGCCUGCAGGUCCAAAGGGGGCAGAGCAGAGGCAGCGCAGACCUUGGGGUCCUUCAAGGCCCCUCCCCCAGCCUGGAGCUGUCCUGGGGCAGUGCACCCACAGCUGGCAGGGCUGCCGCGGGCCUGCAGAGGGCGGAGCGCACUGCAGUCCUGUGAGCGGAACCGGGUGGAAAGAAUGCAGCACAAUCCCUGGGUGUCAGUGUGG